rnacentral:rRNA from 1 species
GCUAAAUACGACCACGAGUCCGAUAGCGAACAAGUACAGUGAUGGAAAAUUGAAAAGCACUUUGAAGAGAGAGUGAAACAGUGCGUGAAACCGCUUAGAGGCAAGCAGUUGGGGCCUC